rnacentral:sRNA from 1 species
GUCAAAAUGAAAAAAGGCAAAAAAACAAAACAAAAA